GACCAUUCUAGCAGGUUUGAGGUGAUACCUUAUUGUUGUGGUUUUGAUUUGCAUUUCCCUGAUGAUUAGUGAUGUUGAGCACAUUUUCUUGUACCUGUUAGCCAUUUAAAUAUCUCCUUUGGGAACAUGUCUAUUCAGUUUUUGCUCAGUUUUAAAUUCUUUCUU